AAUUACACUGGUAAAAGUACAGAGAUUAUGCUUGAAGACUGGGAUUAGGAGUACAUCGACUCCUAGAACUGUGAGUGGACAACUUAUCGUCUUAAAUAUAUAGAGUUAUUAUACUUGUUUGAUGCUUUUAUUGAAUGGUGAGCUUAAAUUAUAAAAUAUUAUGUUUUCUAAUUAAAAUAUUUUUUUUAAUAAAAAUGAUAUUUAUAUUGAUUUUGAAAUCAAAUAUUGUUUUGGAAAAAUUGAGUAUAUGGAGACUGUGUUGAAAUUUAUGAUUUUAUAUGUUAUUGAAAUUGGGGCUUAUGACACUAUGGUAGCAUGAUGGCUAAAUGUUUUGGGUUGGCAUUAAAUAUAUGAACAGUUUUGGAUUGGUCUCGGUAGACUGGAUUAAAUUUUAUUCGCCAUAUUAUGCUACUGAAAAUUUUAUGGGUCUGGUGGUAUAUUAAACGGUCACUGCAGUGGUGGGGGUUUCCGUGGACUGCUUAUGAGAGGGGCACGGUAACCCAAUUAUAUAUUUACCUCCGGGGGGAGAUGUUGGAUGAAGUAUCUCCUGAGGUAAGAUUUGAAUGCACCUCACGGUCAUUGCAGUGGUGGGGGUUUCCAUGGGCUGCCUAUGAGAGGAGCACGGUAACUCAAUUAUAUAUUUACCUCAGGGGGGAGAUGUUGGGUGAAGUAUCUUCUAAGGUAUGAUUUGAGUACACCUCACGUUCGGGCCACCACGUGAGAGUAAGACUCAGCUAACGCCAAGGAACGGUUGUGUGUUAGAUGUGAAAACAUAUUUAUGGGUAUGGGUCAUUGAACAGCCUUGGCGGUCUCAGUGGGAUACCUUGACGAAGGUACCCAUGAGAAUGAUUCUGGCAGGGGCCAAGUUUAAGAAAUUCAUAAGCCGGGAAACUUAGAUGAAAAAAAAUUAUUUGGUAUAGAUUGAAACGAAUUUUGUGUUAUGAACAUUAUUGAGAUAUAACGUUUUUAUAUUGUCUCCAUAUACUCGGCUUUAAAUGCUUUUGAUGGUAAUUGUUUACUCACUAAGAUUAUGUAAUCAUAAUCUCACUCCUUUUCCUAUCCGUUUUUCAGGCUCAGGACAGUUUGUUGAUAGUUGAUUAAGACGAGAAUUAAUCUCGGAGUUGCAUCAUAGGAAGUAAAGGUUCGUAGCUCUACACCUUCUUGGUUAGUUGGAGGCCCACGUGUCACUGUAAACAAAAUUUCAUACUUUAAUUAUCUUUAUUACUAUAUGAAUAAAUUUAUUUUACUCUUACGCUACAAGAGUUAUUU
rnacentral:lncRNA from 1 species